rnacentral:rRNA from 1 species
UACGACGGGGGCUAGCGUUGUUCGGAAUUACUGGGCGUAAAGAGCGCGCAGGCGGCUGGUCAAGUCCGAUGUGAAAUCUCCCGGCUCAACUGGGAAACUGCAUCGGAAACUGAUCGGCUUGAAGGUGGGAGAGGGUAGUGGAAUUCCCGGUGUAGUGGUGAAAUGCGUAGAUAUCGGGAGGAACACCAGUGGCGAAGGCGACUACCUGGCCCAUUCUUGACGCUGAGGCGCGAAAGCUAGGGGAGCGAACGGG